UAGGGAAUCUUCCACAAUGGACGAAAGUCUGAUGGAGCAACGCCGCGUGAGUGAUGAAGGGUUUCGGCUCGUAAAACUCUGUUGUUGGAGAAGAACAGGUGUCAGAGUAACUGUUGACAUCUUGACGGUAUCCAACCAGAAAGCCACGGCUAACUACGUG
rnacentral:rRNA from 1 species